rnacentral:rRNA from 1 species
GCAGCCGCCACGGUAAUACGUAGGUGGCAAGCGUUGUCCGGAAUUAUUGGGCGUAAAGCGCGCGCAGGUGGUUUAAUAAGUCUGAUGUGAAAGCCCACGGCUCAACCGUGGGGGGUCAUUGGAAACUGUUAAACUUGAGUGCAGGAGAGGAGAGUGGAAUUCCACGUGUAGCGGUGAAAUGCGUAGAGAUGUGGAGGAACACCAGUGGCGAAGGCGACUCUCUGGUCUGUAACUGACGCUGAGGAGCGAAAGCGUGGGGAGCGAACAGGAUUAGAUACCCGUGUAGUCCCUGUCUCUUAUAA